rnacentral:rRNA from 1 species
UACAGAGGUGGCAAGCGUUGUUCGGAAUUACUGGGCGUAAAGGGCGCGUAGGCGGUUCGAUAAGUCCCGUGUGAAAGCCCCCGGCUCAACUGGGGAACUGCACGGGAAACUGACGGACUUGAGUUCGGGAGAGGGAAGCGGAAUUCCGGGUGUAGCGGUGGAAUGCGUAGAGAUCCGGAAGAACACCGGUGGCGAAGGCGGCCUGCUGGGAUCUUGCUGACGCUGAGGCGCGACAGCGUGGGGAGCAAACAGG